GCCCUGGUAGUAUAGAGGUUAGUAUGUGGGACUGUCACUCCUUCGACCCGGGUUCGAAUCCCGGCCAGGGCG
rnacentral:tRNA from 1 species